rnacentral:rRNA from 1 species
UGCGAUACGUANUGCGAAUNGCAGGAUUCAGUGAGUCAUCGAAAUUUUGAACGCAUAUUGCACUUCCGGGUUAGUCCUGGAAGUAUGCCUGUAUCAGUGUCCGUA